rnacentral:tRNA from 3 species
CGGCGCGUGGCUCAGCUUGGUAGAGCGCUGCGUUCGGGACGCAGAGGUCGCAGGUUCAAAUCCUGUCGCGCCGAC